CCUAUACAACAUACUAAGAUAUGUUUCUUUCAUGGCAGGAAAAAUAUCCCGAUAGGGCAUUUUAUAUGCACACACAGACACACACAAACCAAAGCAAUACUUCUCAUUGAAACAUACAACUUCUGUUCACAGUGUAUUUGAGAGACUUAAUGGGAAAGUUAAUUUGCAAAUGUAGAACACGUAUUUGCAUGUUUAAGGAAUCUGGCAUGAGGGCUGUAUUAAUCUUCAAUGAAUGGCAAACUGGAUUAACUUUUUAAAAGACUUUUUUAUUGUCUUUUUUGUUUGUUUGUUUAUGUCUUUGUUUUUUCGUUUUUUCAAGACAGGGUUUCUCUACAUAGCCCUGGCUGUCCUGGAACUCACUUUGUAGACCAGGCUGACCUCGAACUCAGAAAUCCGCCUGCCUGUGCCUCCCAAGUGCUGGGAUUAAAGACAUAUACCACCACUGCCUGGGUGAGAUUUUUUUUACUGUCUGAGACACAUGGUGACACUAAUGUAAGUAAACAGGAAAAAAAAUUAAUAUUCACAAUGAGAAUGCAGAACCUAAAAAAAGUAAUUUGAAAUCCCUCUAAUGUGAUCAACCAACAAAUACAAUGACACCUUUUGACAAACAAAUAUUGAGAGAAAUAUUGUUGGUAUUACUAAUCUAAUAAAAGUACAGCAAGAUUAAAUCUAUGUCUAAAUGACUUAUUUCAAAAUUGAUACCAAAGGUGUAUUAGAAACUGUGCAGUCAAGCACUGUUCCCUGAAGAACAAGGGAUAAACAGUUUCGUCAUUUAUGGAUGACAGAUACUUUUUCCAACUACAUUACAAAAACAACCCUAGUAAAAUGUCUAAGUCAUCAAGAAAUUAGUAAGAAUUAAUAGCACUCAUUUACACAGUCAUCAUUACAAAAUGAACAGCUUUGGAGGGCCCAGAGCACAGUGUGAAUAUGUGCAAUGUUGGCACAUGUAUCUAAAAAUAUCAAUAUUCUACAUUAUUUCAAGGUAAUUCUUCUUGAAUCUAACGUAUGUUCUAUGACUCUGGAGUGGUGGCUCAGAGCAUAACAGCAAUUACUGCUUCUCCACAGGGCACUGGCUCAGUUAUAGUAGGCACGCUCAAAGGGGGAUUCAUGACAUUCUGCAAUACUAGUUCUAGUUGAUCUGAAACGUCCUCUGGCUUGCAGUUCACAGGUCUACAUGUAAGCAAAAUUCCAUAGAUAUAAAAUACAAACAGGUAAUAAUGUAAGGCUACAGAAUUAAGAAGUAGAAUGUAAGCAGUUAAAAUCAGUGAUAAAUUAGGUUCAUGAUAUAUACUACAGCACUCUGAUGAUUUCCCAAAGGAGCACAGCAUUGUCACUGAAGGCAGAGAUAUCAUUUAAGCAAUUGCACAGAAAACAACAUAGGACUGGUUAACACACAUACCAUGAAAUAGACUGAAAUACUCAAACACUUACUCAUUUAUAUGUAUGCUGUGAAAUCACAGAGAAACUCGGGACAAAUGGCUUAUUUAUUUAACAUAUCAAAAGCAGGUGCUGGCUGCUAUUACCUGUAAUAAAAUCCUGUCUCUUCUGAGCACCUCUCAUAUCCACCACUUCCCUAAACUUGUUUUUGUCACUGACAUUUGCUGCCCUACCCAUAACUUCCCUUUUUCUGUAAAACCUGUGGGUUCCCAUAGAACUUGCUUCUCAUACUCUUUCUCCCCACUCAUCAAUUUAGUUGUGAAAGGAUAUAAAACUUGAGACCUGUGAUUCAUGUAAUUUAUGUCAAAUAGCCCAAAGAGUUGUUUGUGAGUUUUGAAACCUGGGGCUGAGAACACAGCGAAACAGGCCAGGACAUGCCCGGGCAGGCCCGUCUUUAAGAUAUUCCUGAGGCUACUUGGCCAUAAAGAUAAAGACAAAUAAAGAGAACGACAUGCCGACUGGCCUGGUGCCUCCCUAUCUCCUGCCCUUCUGACCUAAGUUAAAAGUUAACAGUCUGCUGAUGUUUAAAUGGACCAAUCAUGUGAAACCUCGCCAAUUCCUCCCCCAACCCCAGCCCUUUUCUAUAAAUACCCCUAGCUCCAAGCCUCGUGGUUGAAACCACUGUCUCCUGAGAUACGUUUCGACCCAGAUCUCCACCAUUAUGUCUCCACCAAAGGUCGAAACCACUAUCUCCUACGUGAGAUACAUUUCGACCCGGAGCUCCGACAUUAAAUGGUCGAAACCACUGUCUCCUGCAUGAGAUACAUUUCAACCUGGAGCUCUGCCAUUAAUCUACCUCCUGUUUUUACAUCAAGAUGGUCGUCUGUUCGUGAUUCUUGGGUGCACACCGAAUCAGGAAUUGAGUGGGGGUUUCCCCACUAGGUUCUUUCAGUUGUAACUCCUUCAAUGAUAAACUCAAGUCCAAGUGUACUCUGCACAGCUGAGGCUCGGAUGUUUCCAGAUGCACAUAGUUGUGCUAUUGCUCAUCCCUUCAAUAAAACAUUCUUCUCAAACUUGCCUACGAGUGGUCAUGCCCUCCUUUUCAUUCAUCUGGUACCAACACCAGAGGGAGAGCAUACAGGACUUCCCAUGCAAGGGACUCAGUCUCUCUGAAACAACUUUCUCAUAUGACUUGCCUGAGGUGUGUAGGUGGCUGGCUUCUCUCAGUCAACUAGUUUGACUCCAAGAGAGUGUGCCUCUUCUCGCCCUGUUCUAACAGUUCAAUUCUGGUCAUUUAUAGUAUAAACACCUCACUGGUUCCUGAAGCCUGUUCCACCUCUUGGGAACACAUCAAGCAACUCUGAGUCUCUCUGGCUUCUGGAUCCUGCUACAAUAUAUGUGGGCAGGAACAAAGGGACAUCUAAGACAGUUAACUUGUCUCCCUGUGUUGGAAACCUCUUCUUUCCCAGAGACUUCUUCUACUCCAUCUUUUUAAUAGACAUCUGCUCUAGCUGUUCUGACUGCUAGUCUCUCCUCCUCUAGUGUGAAGUGUCAAUUCAGAAGUUCCUAUUUUCCUUACUAGUAUUACAAAAGUCACACUGGUGUACAAGGAUGCCUUCUAGUCCUGCCCACUUAACAUGAAUAGAGAUGACUCUAGUCUGUGACUUGAGACACUUCUCUCCUUCAGGUCUCUUAUUCUUCUUGGGGCUGCCCUAGAUAUAAAUUCUAGACACCAGGACAUUUAUAUUUCUGAAAUCUUUUGUUGAGCUAAUUCAUGGGGCUUCAACUUCCUUCCAUCUAGGAUGUGUAGCCAUCCAUCUUGAUUCUGCCCUCUUGGACAAGUGACCAUAUCCUUGCCUCCUCCUCUUCAGAGCUACCUGAUCUAUCUUCACUAGCACCUGGCCUAAGUAUUGCAACCCUGUGCUCCUCAUUUCUCAUUGCAAAUUGCCUGCUAUGUACCAUAAAUUCUCAGUGACCCCAACCCCCGAGGCUUCUAGGAUAUGGGAACCAUCACUGGGUGGAGGGCCCUGUAUUUUGCUACUCUGUUCCCUCUUCGCUCCAUUUGGAAGCCAGGGAUAUUCUUUAGAUCACCCUUAACUUUUACUUCUCCCCUUACCUCACCUACUUCUCACAGGUGUCUUCUUUGUCUCUUCCUUCAUGCUCCUGUGGUCCUGGUGUGACUAUCUCUUCUGCCUUGGAAUCAGAAGAUCCUAAAACCACACUUUCUUCCUACAAAACACUUAUCCUAAUCACAGCUCAAGUAAAGGUUAAAGACUUGCACACUAGAUUUACAAGUUAUUUCAUAUGGGAGCCACUCAUGUAAGCACAUACAAAUGAUACUCAAAUUUCUUAUAUCUAAACUUUAUCUGCUGUAAGCUUUAAAACCUUUUGUCUCUAAUUUUUUUGCCUAUAUCCCCUCUUCUUAUUAUUAUUUAUUCUUAUCUAAUGCAAUCUGUUCCAACUGGAAAUAUCCCUCUUUCUAGCACUCCCAAUUCCUCCCCAACUCAACUCUUUCCAAGAAUGACUGUCUUACAUGUACCACAGGAAAAACUAGGUCUACCAGACACAGUAAUGAAACACAAGAUUAGAUAAAACUAGAACAAGCACAAACCCUUAUUUCAACACUUGAGGACAGGAGUACUAAGAGCAGGCAAAAGAGUAAAAGAAACUUUCAGUCCUACUCUCAGUAUUCCUCAACACCUCCCACAAACAAAACCACCAUCCAGGAACAACACCAUAUAUGCAGUGUACCUAGUGUAGACCUGUACAGGCUCCAAAAUUGUGCCUCAAUAUCUGGGAAACUCCAGGAAUCCAAGUCAGGUAAUUAUGUUGCCUGUGCUUUCCUUGUGCCUUUGAAAACCUCUGGUUUCCACAAUUCUUUCUCCCCCUCUUCUCAGCAGUUCCCCAAGCUUAUAGACAAAGAAAACAAUAGAGACUGGAAACCUAGCUUCUACUGUUUAAUUGUGAGUCAUUUAUAUUACUCCCAUGCCCUACUGAAGGCAGACAUUAAUGACAGUUGGACAAGUCACAAAACUAUGAAAAGAGCAGAACAUCACCAUGUUUUUUGUAGGGAAAGAGUUGAUGGACAACGGGUAGUAAUGUUUGGUUCUAAAGUAUGAUUCUUGCUUAUCUUGCUUCUAGUUUCUGAUCAACCAGUGUCAGUUACAGGCUCCUUCUUGUUUCAUGUGCAUCCAAUUAAACCACUAUAUUUGGUUACUACCACAAGUUCUGUGCUAGUAUUGACACAGUACACCUUGCAAGCAGGAAACUUUAUAGGCUGAAGGUUUCAUUCCUGGGUUGUUUUCCCUCCCCUUCACUUCUCCAUGACAUUCCAAACCUACCAUGGUCCCAAGAUCCACUCCUCAACCAUCCUCUUCGAAAAAUAGCAGGGCAGCCUCUUGUGGAUAUCAACUAAACAAGACAUAACAUAUGACAAUAAAAAAACAACAAAUCCUCAUAUCAAAGAUAGGCAAGUAAUUAACUAGAGAAAGAGUAUGGGAUGAGUAGACAAAAGAGUUACAAGCAUAAACACACACACACACACACACAAACACACAAACACACAAUAUCACUGUGCUAAAUGAUUCUUUUCAUGCAAAAGGAGGAGACUCUGAUAUGCAAAGUCUUAAUCAAGUUGACUACAUUCAUAAGAGUUCACUGCAAUCUAGGUUUUUAAUGCCCUUGAAGACGACAUGUGCAAAGGCUUUACCACGUUGUUUACAUCCAUGGGACUUCUGUCAAGUAAUGUGUUCUUUAGUAACUCUGAAGAUAACUGUUAUGUGAAAACACUUUAACACAUUGGUUACAUGAAUCGUGUUUCUCUCCAGUAUGUGUCCGGUUAUUGCUUUGAGGAUGGCUGUGUUGAGCAAAGGCUUUACAACAUUGGUUACAUUCAUAGGGCUUCUCUCCAGUAUGUGUUCUUUUAUGCUGUUGAAGACCACUGUGACAUGAAAAGGCUUUACCACAUUGAUUACACUCAUAGGGCUUCUCUCCAGUAUGUGUUCUUUUAUGAUUUUGAAGAUAACUGGGACUCGAAAAGGCUUUAACACACUGGUUACACUUAUAGGGCUUCUCUCCAGUAUGUGAUCUUUUAUGAAUCUGAAGAUAACUGUGACAUGAAAAGGCUUUACCACAUUGGUUACAUUCAUAGGGCUUCUCUGUAGUAUGUGUUCUUUUAUGGCUUUGCAGAUGGCUGUGGCAUGCACAGGCUUUACCAAGUGUGUUACAGUCACAAGGUUUAUCCCCUGUGUGUGUUCUUCUAUGCAUUUGAACACCAGUAUAAGGUACAAAGGCUUCAGUAAGCAUUCCUUUGUAUAUCUGAGGAUGAUUGUGACUCGAAAGCACUUCAUUACAUUGCACACUUUCAUAGGAUUUCUCUCCAGUGUGAGUUCUGUCUUCCGUUUGAAGAUGCCUAUGACAUACAAAAUCGUUAGCAUUUUGCAUAUGUUCAGAAAUUAUCCCUACCUUAUAAAUUCUUUUAUACCUAUAGAUGCAAUUGGCACCUUAGAAAGGUUUACCCAUGUAUUAUAGUAAUGAAUCUUUUUAUAUGUAGGAAUUAAUUUACAUUGUUUUCUAAAUGGAAAUAGAAAUCAGAUAUAAUAAGGAUUCAUCACUUUGUUUAUAUCCAUGGUGUUUUCUCUCAUUAUGGGUUCCAUUAAAUAUUUGAAGAUAAUUGUGAUUGUAAAAGCAUUUAUAUCAUGGCUCACAUUCAUAGCAAUCUUUUCUUAUAUCGGCUUUUUCACAUAUUUAACAAAACCUGCAAGCACUCAGAGCUUUACAACAAUGACUGCAUUCAUAAAUUUUUCUAUAGAUUAAGCCAUAUAUUUGGACAGUGAAACAGUAAAAAACAUAAAAUUUCUAAAUUUUUAAACUCCUAAGAAUUUUUCCUAGUGUGAGUUUGUUGAUUUACUCACAAUAAGUUGGAAAAUCAAUUAUCUGUAAAAUCCUAUCUAGUUCAACAAAUAUAUUCUAAGUAGCGAUAACAAGAUAUUUUCUAAAUGUCCUUGGAGAAAAAGACACUCAGUGUUUCUGUCAAUAUCUUAGGCAAAAGGGGACUGAAUCCUUUAUAUAAGAUAUAGACAGAUAGAUAGAUAUGUGCCUUAUAAUAUACCUAUGGAAUGUACAAAAACAAAUAAAAUGUAAAAACAUUACACUCACAAAUUUUGAAUUUUUAUUCUCCAGAUACAUGUGAAGUAUUUCUAUUAAGCUUUCUAUUCAACUUUCUCAAGCCUUAUAAACUUCCACUAUCACAAAACUUAACCACCUUUCUACAAGUACAUGAGUUACAUAUGUGUUACUGUGAACUAUUUGUUUAUGAUAUAUACACAUCAUACGAUCAAAGUGUAUACUUUUUUGCAAUAUCUGAGAAGUAUAAGAGUAAACCGUAUGGCAGGUCUGCAUUUUAGUGCCAAUGGGGCUGUGCUUGAAAUAGUUCUAUCUGUUAAGGCAGUAUUGGACAUUGAAGAAUGCCCUGCCAACUGAAAUAGAAUACAUGACAUAGGGGUAAAUGCAUUUGUGAGAAUUUAAUAUUCAGUAUCUUUAAAACUAUGCUUAUUUACAUACACUGUUGCCUUGAACUAAAAUUUCAAGAACACAUGAAGAUUUCUUCUGAGGCACAUUUGGAUCAGCAUGUAAAUAAAAAUUACCUUCCAUUUCUUCUAGAAGUUUGAGAAUUUUCUUCAUUAAUGUGGUCAUUCCAAUAAGAGUCUAAAACAUAGUACCAGAAAAUGUAUGACGUAUUAUUGGAGUUGAUGGAAAGUUUAACGUACUAUCUACAGUGAACCUUAGAUCCAUGUCUGAUUCGUUCACCUCAUUCUUCUUUCUCAAUGUAAAUUAUAGAAGAACAUCAUCAACAACAAAAGAAGCAAGCAAAAGGACAAACACACAUUCAAACCUAAGGAAACAGUUUCCCUCUAACUUGUAAAGGAAAACCACAUGAACAGUCUUACCUAUAGCUCUGAGGGUCCUGUAGGUCUCCAGCAUCACAUCCUUGUAGAGACUCUUCUGGGAAGGAUCCAGCAAAGCCCAUUCUUCCCGAGUAAAGUUCACAUGCACAUCCUCAUAUGUCACUGCAUUCUAGAACAUCCCAUACAUGUUUAUAAUAGAAAGCAUGGUGCGCACAUAUUGGACAUAUAUUUCAUUGACAAUGUAUUCAAGUUAUUCUCCCUUUUCCUCCAUCCUAACACAGAAGUUAUAAUGUAAUCUCAACGUCAUUUCAGACAGAAACUGAAUUAUGAGGUUCACAUCUCGCAUUUCCUCACCUAUUGAGUGAGACAUGCAUUUCCAAGAAGAGUACCAAUUAACAGAUAUAAAGAGACAAGCAAACAGAUAAACAAUGCUAAGUAGAUAUCAUAGAUUCUGUAUGAAUAUUACAAACUACAAAAAGCAAGGAACUCUCAAUUCUGAACACCUAUGCUCCAAAUGCAAGGGCAACUAUUUUCAUAAUACAAACUUUACUAGAGCUCAAAGUGCACAUUGCACCUCACACAAUAAUAGUGAGAGACUUCAACAUCCCCACUCUCAGCAAUGGACAGAUCAUGGAAACAGAAACUAAACAGAGACACAGUGAAAAUAACAGAAGUUAUGAAACAAACAUUUCAUCCUAAAGGCAAAGAAUACACCUUCGUCUCAGCAGCUCACAGCACCUUCUCCAAAACUGACCAUAUAAUCGGUCACAAAACAGGCCUCAACAGAUACAAGAAGACUGAAAUCAUCCCAUGAGCCCUAUCAGAUCACCACUGACUAAGGCUGGUCUUAAAUACCAACAAAAGCAAAGGAAAGCACACAUGCACAUGGAAG
rnacentral:lncRNA from 1 species